UUCGUUAGGUUGAAGUGUUGAUUUGGAAUAAGUGAUAUGUAUAACAAUACAGUGUUUAUAAUUUUAAGAAACACUCUUUUUGGUAGAAGAGUUUAAAUGAAACCUAAGAUACGUAUUGGUAUUUGAUAGAGAAACGAAAGAGGGAAGGAAGAGUUUGCGAUUGCAACGCUCCACCCACCGAUCUCGCCGGAGAACGAUCAAGCAUCAAACUUCUUUUUGCUUCGACAGUAGCUGAUAAUCAUGAGCAAAAGGAGGAGGAGAAUCAUGGAGGAUCGUUGAGGUUAAGAGUUGGGAGUGGGAGUCGUUAUGGAGGUUCCAAGUUUAGAAAGGGCCGGUUGCUUGUCGAUGGAAGAAAGAGCACAGAGGGUGGUCUAAUGUGGGUAAAGAAGGGAGAGAUAUCCGAUGGCAAUGAGAUUUUCAUUCAAGAAGCUAAAGCCAAAGCCAAUCGUGGUUCGCGAAUUCACGCCUGACGGCCUUCUUCCUCUCAAGCGUUCUGAUUUAGCCUGAUCCUGUGAGAAAGAGGGGAAAGGCAAAUGCUCCAUGUUCCAUCCAUGGCAUUUGGCAUUUGGCAUUUGAAUUGGUUGGUUGUCGUCUCCUUCGUCAUGAUAGGGAAAGAAUGGAUUAGAUUUCUAUUCCUUCUUUAAGUUCUGAUCCAUAAUUAGUUCUGGGAACUCAUAACAAUCUCUGGAAUUAGUUCUGAUUUACUUCUUUGAGCUCAAAAGCACGUGUCUACUUUCUUCCCAUUGUUACCUUCAUGUUCAUUUCCCAGUGCGGUUUGGUUGUUUUCCUUUGGAAAACUUGUCUCAUCUUCCAUUGAGAGGAGUUUGAAGUGAAAAUGAUUUGGUGGGAAACAACUACCAGGAAACAGAUGGGGAAACUCAAAACAUGUAAGGGACACCCAAAAAUACUUUGUAUGCUGUGGGGGAAGAUAUUUUUCAAAGUGAGAGUCAUUCUUGUUUAACUCUUUCAUUGCUUUACAUUGACAUUUUGUGGCCUUUUUGUCAUAUUCUGUCCAUUUAUCAUCUACAUUUCUUGAAAUAUGUUUGGUCUCUCAUCUGCCCU